rnacentral:rRNA from 1 species
GGAAUCUUAGACAAUGGGCGCAAGCCUGAUCUAGCCAUGCCGCGUGAUCGAUGAAGGCCUUAGGGUUGUAAAGAUCUUUCAGCUGGGAAGAUAAUGACGGUACCAGGCGAAGAAGCCCCGGCUAACACCGUGCCAGCAGCCGCGGUAAUACGGAGGGGGCUAGCGUUGUUCGGAAUUACUGGGCGUAAAGCGCACGUAGGCGGAUUAGUCAGUCAGAGGUGAAAUCCCAGGGCUCAACCUUGGAACUGCCUUUGAUACUGCUAGUCUAGAGUUCGAGAGAGGUGAGUGGAAUUCCGAGUGUAGAGGUGAAAUUCGUAGAUAUUCGGAGGAACACCAGUGGCGAAGGCGGCUCACUGGCUCGAUACUGACGCUGAGGUGCGAAAGCGUGGGGAGCAAAC